rnacentral:pre_miRNA from 1 species
UUGAUACUCCCUCCGUCCGGAAAUACUUGUCAUCAAAAUGGAUGAAAAGAGAUGUAUCUAGAACUAAAAUACAUCUAGAUACAUCUCCUUUUAUCCAUUUUAAUGACAAGUAUUUCUGGACAGAGGGAGUACAUG